CAGAAGAAAUCCCAGACAAGAUGCUUUGUAUUAUUGCUCCUUUUGUGAAGAUAAGGAAGGAUUUGAUAUUAGAUACAUUGAUUCAUUUAAAUGUCGAGGUGUGUUCAGCUCCCGGCCCUUUCAAAAGGGAGAUUUCCUUCUUGAAAACAGAGGACAGCUCAUAUCUAAAAAUGAACAAGAAAGCAGACUGAGAGUUUCACCUUCCCUGAAGGUUGUUAUGUUUGAUUUCCAGUUCAAUGGAAAGUUGUUAUGUAUUGAUGCUGCUAGAGAGGACGGGUCACUUGUAAGACUAAUAAAUGAUGAUGAAGUGAGCC